rnacentral:misc_RNA from 1 species
GAAAUGCGAUAAGUAGUGUGAAUUGCAGAAUUCAGUGAAUCAUCGAAUCUUUGAACGCACAUUGCGCCCCUUGGUAUUCCAUGGGGCAUGCCUGUUCGAGCGUCAUUUGUACCCUCAAGCUCUGCUUGGUGUUGGGUGUUUGUCCCGUCUCCGCGCGUGGACUCGCCCCAAGGUGAUUGGCAGCCGGCGUACUGGUCCCGGAGCGCAGCACAUGUCGCGCAAACGAGUGCCUUGGUACGGCGGCGUCCAUAAGCCCCUCUCUCACGCUCUUGACCUCGGAUCAGGUAGGGAUACCCGCUGAACUUAAGC